UACAGAGGUCCCAAGCGUUGUUCGGAUUCACUGGGCGUAAAGGGUGCGUAGGUGGUGGGGUAAGUUUGAUGUGAAAGCUCCGGGCUUAACCCGGAAAUGGCAUUGAAUACUAUCUCGCUUGAGGGUUGGAGGGGAGACUGGAAUUCUUGGUGUAGCAGUGAAAUGCGUAGAUAUCGAAGAGGAACACCAGUGGCGAAGGCGGCUUACUGGUCCGGAACUGACGCUGAGGAGCGAAAGCAUGGGGAGCGAACAGG
rnacentral:rRNA from 1 species